rnacentral:rRNA from 1 species
UACAGAGGUCCCAAGCGUUGUUCGGAUUCACUGGGCGUAAAGGGUGCGUAGGCGGUCGGGUAAGUCUGGCGUGAAAUCUCCAAGCCUAACUUGGAAACUGCGUUGGAUACUAUCCGGCUCGAGGAAUGGAGGGGAGACUGGAAUACUUGGCGUAGCAGUGAAAUGCGUAGAUAUCAAGUGGAACACCAGUGGCGAAGGCGAGUCUCUGGACAUUUCCUGACGCUGAGGCACGAAAGCCAGGGGAGCAAACGGG